GCAGAGUGUGCCCGCAGAUGAAGAAAAUGCAUCCGGUGCCAGGUGGUCAUCAGCAAGAAAGCUGCGCCCACACGGCUCGGAGGUGGCCGGCGCGGCCUCGGCGCUCGGGCCCCCGCGGCAGCUGGUGGAGGAGCUGCAGAGCCGCUACCGGCAGAUGGAGGAGCGCAUCACCUGCCCCAUCUGCAUCGACAGCCACAUCCGCCUCGUGUUCCAGUGCGGCCACGGCGCCUGCGCCCCGUGCGGCGCGGCGCUCAGCGCCUGCCCCAUCUGCCGCCAGCCCAUCCGCGACCGCAUCCAGAUCUUCGUGUGACCGCGCCCGCCGCCCGCCCUCCCCCUCCCCGCCCGCGUUUUAUAAAGAGA